rnacentral:rRNA from 1 species
AUUGAACGCUGGCGGCAGGCCUAACACAUGCAAGUCGAACGGUAACAGGAAGAAGCUUGCUUCUUUGCUGACGAGUGGCGGACGGGUGAGUAAUGUCUGGGAAACUGCCUGAUGGAGGGGGAUAACUACUGGAAACGGUAGCUAAUACCGCAUAACGUCGCAAGACCAAAGAGGGGGACCUUCGGGCCUCUUUCCAUCGGAUGUGCCCAGAUGGGGUUAGCUAGUAGGUGGGGUAACGGCUCACCUAGUCGACGAUCCCUCGCUGAUAUGAGAGGGUGACACGCCACACGGGAGAUGAGACACGGUCACGAGUACUACGGGAGGGAGCAGUAGGGGAUAUUCCGCAAUGGGCGCAGGCCUGACGGCGCAACGCCGGGUGAGUGAGGAAGGACUUCGGCUCGUAAAACUAUGAUAGUAGGGAAGACGAUAUGUGUAAGUAACUGUGCACAUCUUGACGGUACCUAAUCAGAAAGCCACGGCUAACUACGUG